rnacentral:rRNA from 1 species
CCUACGGGCGGCUGCAGUGGGGAAUAUUGCACAAUGGGCGCAAGCCUGAUGCAGCCAUGCCGCGUGUGUGAAGAAGGCCUUCGGGUUGUAAAGCACUUUCAGCGGGGAGGAAGGCGGUGAGGUUAAUAACCUCAUCGAUUGACGUUACCCGCAGAAGAAGCACCGGCUAACUCCGUGCCAGCAGCCGCGGUAAGACGGAGGGUGCAAGCGUUAAUCGGAAUUACUGGGCGUAAAGCGCACGCAGGCGGUCUGUCAAGUCGGAUGUGAAAUCCCCGGGCUCAACCUGGGAACUGCAUUCGAAACUGGCAGGCUAGAGUCUUGUAGAGGGGGGUAGAAUUCCAGGUGUAGCGGUGAAAUGCGUAGAGCUCUGGAGGAAUACCGGUGGCGAAGGCGGCCCCCUGGACAAAGACUGACGCUCAGGUGCGAAAGCGUGGGGAGCAAACAGGAUUAGAUACCCUAGUAGUC